UGAAGGACCCCCGGUGCCUUAGCUAGUUGGGGAGGAACGGCUCACCAAGGCCCCGAUGCAUAGCCGACCUGAGAGGUGAUCGGCCACACUGGGACUGAGACACGGCCCAGAUUCCUACGGGAGGCAGCAGUAGGGAUCUUCGGCAAUGACGAAAGUCUGACCGAGCAACGCCGCGUGAGUGAAGAAGGUUUUCGGAUCGUAAAACUCUGUUGUUAGAGAAGAACAAGGACGUUAGUAACUGAACGUCCCCUGACGGUAUCUAACCAGAAAGCCACGGCUAACUACGUGCCAGCAGCCGCGGUAAUACGUAGGUGGCAAGCGUUGUCCGGAUUUAUUGGGCGUAAAGCGAGCGCAGGCGGUUUCUUAAGUCUGAUGUGAAAGCCCCCGGCUCAACCGGGGAGGGUCAUUGGAAACUGGGAGACUUGAGUGCAGAAGAGGAGAGUGGAAUUCCAUGUGUAGCGGUGAAAUGCGUAGAUAUAUGGAGGAACACCAGUGGCGAAGGCGGCUCUCUGGUCUGUAACUGACGCUGAGGCUCGAAAGCGUGGGGAGCAAACAGGAUUAGAUACCCUGGUAGUCCACGCCGUAAACGAUGAGUGCUAAGUGUUGGAGGGUUUCCGCCCUUCAGUGCUGCAGCAAACGCAUUAAGCACUCCGCCUGGGGAGUACGACCGCAAGGUUGAAACUCAAAGGAAUUGACGGGGGCCCGCACAAGCGGUGGAGCAUGUGGUUUAAUUCGAAGCAACGCGAAGAACCUUACCAGGUCUUGACAUCCUUUGACCACUCUAGAGAUAGAGCUUUCCCUUCGGGGACAAAGUGACAGGUGGUGCAUGGUUGUCGUCAGCUCGUGUCGUGAGAUGUUGGGUUAAGUCCCGCAACGAGCGCAACCCUUAUUGUUAGUUGCCAUCAUUUAGUUGGGCACUCUAGCGAGACUGCCGGUGACAAACCGGAGGAAGGUGGGGAUGACGUCAAAUCAUCAUGCCCCUUAUGACCUGGGCUACACACGUGCUACAAUGGGAAGUACAACGAGUCGCUAGACCGCGAGGUCAUGCAAAUCUCUUAAAGCUUCUCUCAGUUCGGAUUGCAGGCUGCAACUCGCCUGCAUGAAGCCGGAAUCGCUAGUAAUCGCGGAUCAGCACGCCGCGGUGAAUACGUUCCCGGGCCUUGUACACACCGCCCGUCACACCACGAGAGUUUGUAACACCCGAAGUCGGUGAGGUAACCUUUUUGGAGCCAGCCGCCUAAGG
rnacentral:rRNA from 1 species